AAGGCUCGUCCGCUCUGGGUUAGUCGGGUCCUAAGCUGAGGCCGACAGGCGUAGGCGAUGGAUAACAGGUUGAUAUUCCUGUACCACCUAUAAUCGUUUUAAUCGAUGGGGGGACGCAGUAGGAUAGGCGAAGCGUGCGAUUGGAUUGCACGUCUAAGCAGUAAGGCUGGGUAUUAGGCAAAUCCGGUACUCGUUAAGGCUGAGCUGUGAUGGGGAGAAGACAUUGUGUCUUCGAGUCGUUGAUUUCACACUGCCGAGAAAAGCCUCUAGAUAGAAAAUAGGUGCCCGUACCGCAAACCGACACAGGUAGUCAAGAUGAGAAUUCUAAGGUGAGCGAGCGAACUCUCGUUAAGGAACUCGGCAAAAUGACCCCGUAACUUCGGGAGAAGGGGUGCUCUUUAGGGUUAACGCCCAGAAGAGCCGCAGUGAAUAGGCCCAAGCGACUGUUUAUCAAAAACACAGGUCUCUGCUAAACCGUAAGGUGAUGUAUAGGGGCUGACGCCUGCCCGGUGCUGGAAGGUUAAGAGGAGUGGUUAGCUUCUGCGAAGCUACGAAUCGAAGCCCCAGUAAACGGCGGCCGUAACUAUAACGGUCCUAAGGUAGCGAAAUUCCUUGUCGGGUAAGUUCCGACCCGCACGAAAGGCGUAACGAUUUGGGCACUGUCUCAACGAGAGACUCGGUGAAAUCAUAGUACCUGUGAAGAUGCAGGUUACCCGCGACAGGACGGAAAGACCCCGUGGAGCUUUACUGUAGCCUGAUAUUGAAAUUCGGCACAGCUUGUACAGGAUAGGUAGGAGCCUUUGAAACGUGAGCGCUAGCUUACGUGGAGGCGCUGGUGGGAUACUACCCUAGCUGUGUUGGCUUUCUAACCCGCACCACUUAUCGUGGUGGGAGACAGUGUCAGGCGGGCAGUUUGACUGGGGCGGUCGCCUCCUAAAAGGUAACGGAGGCGCUCAAAGGUUCCCUCAGAAUGGUUGGAAAUCAUUCAUAGAGUGUAAAGGCAUAAGGGAGCUUGACUGCGAGACCUACAAGUCGAGCAGGGUCGAAAGACGGACUUAGUGAUCCGGUGGUUCCGCAUGGAAGGGCCAUCGCUCAACGGAUAAAAGCUACCCCGGGGAUAACAGGCUUAUCUCCCCCAAGAGUUCACAUCGACGGGGAGGUUUGGCACCUCGAUGUCGGCUCAUCGCAUCCUGGGGCUGUAGUCGGUCCCAAGGGUUGGGCUGUUCGCCCAUUAAAGCGGUACGCGAGCUGGGUUCAGAACGUCGUGAGACAGUUCGGUCCCUAUCCGUCGUGGGCGUAGGAAAUUUGAGAGGAGCUGUCCUUAGUACGAGAGGACCGGGAUGGACAUACCUCUGGUGUACCAGUUGUCGUGCCAACGGCAUAGCUGGGUAGCUAUGUGUGGACGGGAUAAGUGCUGAAAGCAUCUAAGCAUGAAGCCCCCCUCAAGAUGAGAUUUCCCAACUUCGGUUAUAAGAUCCCUCAAAGAUGAUGAGGUUAAUAGGUUCGAGGUGGAAGCAUGGUGACAUGUGGAGCUGACGAAUACUAAUCGAUCGAAGACUUAAUCAA
rnacentral:rRNA from 1 species